rnacentral:rRNA from 1 species
UACCAGCACCCCGAGUGGUCGGGACGAUUAUUGGGCCUAAAGCAUCCGUAGCCGGUCCUGCAAGUCUUCCGUUAAAUCCACCUGCUCAACAGUUGGGCUGCGGGGGAUACUACAGGGCUAGGAGGCGGGAGAGGCAAGCGGGUACUCGAUGGGUAGGGGUAAAAUCCGUUGAUCCAUUGAAGACCACCAGUGGCGAAGGCGGCUUGCCAGAACGCGCUCGACGGUGAGGGAUGAAAGCUGGGGGAGCAACCGG